CUUAUUUAUUCAUACACUGAACAUCGAAUCUCCAGAAACCACAUCAAAAAUAACCGUUUUAUUUGCAGCCACUUCAUUUCAUUUGUUAAUCUGCUUUUUGGGCGACAUAACUGGUACACACCAAUUUUUUUUUAAAAAUGCAAAAGAGCGCACAAAGAAAUCUCUCCCCUUUACUCUUGUGUCCUAGAGAUGAAUCAUGAUGAAGUUUAUUUUGUAUCUUUCCAGGGUUAUUUAAACAUACACUGGCAAAUACACUACUAUGUAUUUAAACAUACACUUGCUUUCUUUUCUACACAAAGUGUAGCAUGUUCUAUACUAUGUGUCCAAAUGUGGCCAUCGUUAAUAGCGCUCAAUGCACACAGUUUCAACAUUAAGUUUUGUGCUCUUUUUCCUGUGUUGUACAAGAAGGUAUGCUUUGUAGAAACUUCUUAAAAUAGGGAUUGAUUUUGCACUUAGAUGCUUCCAUUAAACAAAUUCUGAUGCUGUACACUAACAGUAUCUUUUCUUUUUACUUGAUUUUCAGAUAUCCCAUUUAAAUGAUCAACUGUAUAGAAUUAUCACCAUUACCAGAUGUGAGGUUUGCACAGCCCUGAAGGUGAAAGGUACAAUGCCACUCAUUUUUGCUAAACAAUUUGAUAUUAAAAUUACAUUAGAUUUUAAAUAAAUGCUGACAUACGAUGGCAUGGAAUGUAACAUUUAAAUAAAUUUGAAGAUGAAACAUGAAACUUCAAAGAAACUCCAGAGAAAUAUCAGAACUGUAACUGGCUGCUCCAGGCUACCCAGACUUCCAGAAGGUAAAUAUUUUUUUCUCCUCUGCAGCUGGUGCUAUUUCUAUUGAAAAAGUUGAGAGGGGUGCCUGGGUGGCUCAGUGGGUUAAGCGUCUGACUUCCGCCCAGGUCAUGAUCUCACGGUUCGUGAGUUCGAGUCCCGCAAGGGGCCCUGUGCUGACAGCUCAGAGCCUGGAGCCUGCUUCAGAUUCUGUGUCUCCCUCUCUCUCUGCCCCUCCUCUGCUCAUGCUCAUGCUCUGUCUCUUAAAAAGUGAAUAAACAUUAAUAAAAAUAAAUACAUAAAAAAUUUAAAAAUAAGAAGAAUAAAAGAAAAGAAAAGUUGAGAAACAAAAUGCAAUGCUAAUUGAAGCCCAGACAGGAUAAGCAAAUUGCCCCAAAUCACACGUUAACUCAACCAAUAUGGAUUCAGCAUCUGCAGCUCACUGUGCAAACAUGGGGGCUAAAAUAAUGAGCAAAACAGAUGCAGACAUCAACCUUAUAAAGUUUGUAUGCAAGCGGGGGUGAAGGGAAGAGAGAGUCAUUAAAUUAAUAUUCAACGUGUAACCGUUUUAACCAGCUGCUCUCUUGGUUAGUGCAGCAGAACAUAUUAAGUAAAAACAACUCAAAUCUUUAUUGCAGUCUUUCCAGGAAAUACACAAGGGAGAAUCCAUUAUUAUUGCACAAGAAAAUCUCUUUAGCAUCUUUUCCUGUACCUUGCAUUUUCAAUAUGGCCUUCAGCAGCAAGUCACUGGCAAAAAAAUGAACUUUCCCAGUUUUUGUCCUGGCCUUCAGCCUGAAGAGCCCCUAGCACUCGGGCCUCCCACCCCCUCUCUUUUCCCAUCUAGUCUACCCUCAAAAAUGAAGCUAGCUUCUUAUAAGAGAUUUCGGUGUUUGGGGUGGUGGAAAGAAAAUGUGAACGCUCAUGAAUUGAUUUUUGUACCUGUCACGUUUUUAAUCCACACAGCAUGGUAGAUGUAAAAGUGCAAAGUACUGGACCUCUGGGGAAUUAGGGUCGACUUCUCUGGGAAAGGGACCUAUUAAACUGAGCUCAGACUGUUCAAUAAGUAGUAAUCAAGAAAAGGAGGUAAGAACAUUGCAGACUGAGGGAUCACAGUCAACGAGAUUUCAUGGUGGGAGAAGCAUGGAGACAAUAAAAGGUCAUCACGACUAGAAUGCAAGGUAAGAGGAUGAGGGGAAGAAUCUAGAGAUGGGGAAAAAGUCCAGUUAUCCAGGGCCUUGUGGACCAUGUUUAGGAUUUGGUCCCUUUCUCUGAGAGCAGUGAGAAGUUCUCAAAAGGAAGCAGGACAGUAAUGGGAUCAGAUUUGCAUUCUUUUUAAAAACAUUUUUUAAGUUUAUUUAUUUAUUUUGAGAGAGAGAGAAAGAGAGAGAGUGCUUGCACGCAUGAGCAAGAGAGGGGUAGAGAGAGAGAGGCCGAGAAUCCCAGGCAGGCUCUGAGCCAUC